rnacentral:rRNA from 1 species
AUUGAACGCUGGCGGCAUGCCUUACACAUGCAAGUCGAACGGUAACAGGGAGCUUGCUCCGCUGACGAGUGGCGAACGGGUGAGUAAUAUAUCGGAACGUGCCCAGUCGUGGGGGAUAACGCAGCGAAAGCUGUGCUAAUACCGCAUACGAUCUCUGGAUGAAAGCGGGGGACCUUCGGGCCUCGCGCGAUUGGAGCGGCCGAUAUCAGAUUAGCUAGUUGGUGGGGUAAAAGCCCACCAAGGCGACGAUCUGUAGCUGGUCUGAGAGGACGACCAGCCACACUGGAACUGAGACACGGUCCAGACUCCUACGGGAGGCAGCAGUGGGGAAUUUUGGACAAUGGGCGAAAGCCUGAUCCAGCAAUGCCGCGUGCAGGAUGAAGGCCUUAGGGUUGUAAACUGCUUUUGUACGGAACGAAAAGGUCUGCCUUAAUACGGUGGGCCCAUGACGGUACCGUAAGAAUAAGCACCGGCUAACUACGUGCCAGCAGCCGCGGUAAUACGUAGGGUGCGAGCGUUAAUCGGAAUUACUGGGCGUAAAGCGUGCGCAGGCGGUUAUAUAAGACAGAUGUGAAAUCCCCGGGCUCAACCUGGGACCUGCAUUUGUGACUGUAUAGCUAGAGUACGGUAGAGGGGGAUGGAAUUCCGCGUGUAGCAGUGAAAUGCGUAGAUAUGCGGAGGAACACCGAUGGCGAAGGCAGCCCCCUGGGUCAAGACUGACGCUCAUGCACGAAAGCGUGGGGAGCAAACAAGAUUAGAUACCCUGGUAGUCCACGCCCUAAACGAUGUCUACUAGUUGUCGGGUCUUAAUUGACUUGGUAACGCAGCUAACGCGUGAAGUAGACCGCCUGGGGAGUACGGUCGCAAGAUUAAAACUCAAAGGAAUUGACGGGGACCCGCACAAGCGGUGGAUGAUGUGGAUUAAUUCGAUGCAACGCGAAAAACCUUACCUACCCUUGACAUGGCUGGAAUCCCCGAGAGAUCGGGGAGUGCUCGCA